rnacentral:rRNA from 1 species
UACGUAGGUGGCGAGCGUUGUCCGGAUUUACUGGGCGUAAAGAGCGCGCAGGCGGUCGUGCAAGUCGCGUGUGAAAUCCCCCGGCUCAACUGGGGAGGGUCACGCGAUACUGCUCGACUCGAAGGCAGGAGAGGGAAGUGGAAUUCCCGGUGUAGUGGUGAAAUGCGUAGAUAUCGGGAGGAACACCAGUGGCGAAGGCGACUUCCUGGCCUGUUCUUGACGCUGAGGCGCGAAAGCUAGGGUAGCAAACGGG